rnacentral:rRNA from 1 species
CAGCCGCCGCGGGAAUACGUAGGUGGCAAGCGUUGUCCGGAAUUAUUGGGCGUAAAGGGCUCGCAGGCGGUUUCUUAAGUCUGAUGUGAAAGCCCCCGGCUCAACCGGGGAGGGUCAUUGGAAACUGGGAAACUUGAGUGCAGAAGAGGAGAGUGGAAUUCCACGUGUAGCGGUGAAAUGCGUAGAGAUGUGGAGGAACACCAGUGGCGAAGGCGACUCUCUGGUCUGUAACUGACGCUGAGGAGCGAAAGCGUGGGGAGCGAACAGGAUUAGAUACCAGUGUAGUCCCUGUCUCUUAUAC